rnacentral:misc_RNA from 1 species
GUGAGUCAUCGAAUCUUUGAACGCACAUUGCGCCCGCCAGUAUUCUGGCGGGCAUGCCUGUUCGAGCGUCAUUUCAACCAUCAAGCCCCCGGCUUGUGUUGGGGACCUGCGGCUGCCGCAGGCCCUGAAAUGCAGUGGCGGGCUCGCUGUCACUCCGAGCGUAGUAAUACAUCUCGCUCUGGACGUGCUGCGGGUUCCGGCCGUUAAAAGCCUUAUUUACCCAAGGUUGACCUCGGAUCAGGUAGGAAGACCCGCUGAACUUAAGCAUAUCAAUAAGCGGAGGA